CAGGUCUUGACAUCCCACUGACCGGCUUAGAGAUAGGCUUUUCCCUUCGGGGACAGUGGUGACAGGUGGUGCAUGGUUGUCGUCAGCUCGUGUCGUGAGAUGUUGGGUUAAGUCCCGCAACGAGCGCAACCCUUGAUCUUAGUUGCCAGCAUUCAGUUGGGCACUCUAGGGUGACUGCCGGUGAUAAACCGGAGGAAGGUGGGGAUGACGUCAAAUCAUCAUGCCCCUUAUGACCUGGGCUACACACGUGCUACAAUGGACGAUACAAAGGGCUGCAAACCCGCGAGGGGGAGCCAAUCCCAUAAAAUCGUUCUCAGUUCGGAUUGUAGGCUGCAACUCGCCUACAUGAAGCCGGAAUCGCUAGUAAUCGUGGAUCAGCAUGCCACGGUGAAUACGUUCCC
rnacentral:rRNA from 1 species